rnacentral:SRP_RNA from 1 species
UGUCAGGAGUCGUGGAGAUUUGGCAAGCGAACCCCGCCAGGCCUUAAUCGGAGCAACGGUAGUUUGUCCAUGUUUGCCGCGGUUUCCUGGCGGCA